UACGAAGGGGGCUAGCGUUGCUCGGAAUCACUGGGCGUAAAGCGCACGUAGGCGGAUCGUUAAGUCAGGGGUGAAAUCCUGGAGCUCAACUCCAGAACUGCCCUUGAUACUGGCGACCUUGAGUUCGGGAGAGGUGAGUGGAACUGCGAGUGUAGAGGUGAAAUUCGUAGAUAUUCGCAAGAACACCAGUGGCGAAGGCGGCUCACUGGCCCGAUACUGACGCUGAGGUGCGAAAGCGUGGGGAGCAAACAGGG
rnacentral:rRNA from 1 species